AAGAAAACAAUGUAAAUCAUACUGUGACCUUUACAGCUGGUGAGGGAGUAAAACAAAUACCUGAACAGGACCUCUAAACUACCAAAGCCUCUGAACUCAAAUACCCUUAAGCAACUGGAUUCUACUAUGUGAAAAACAGGGAGUCAGUGAAUGAACUGAAGGAUUCACCAGGGCUUCCUCCAAUUUAUUUCCUUUAUAUAUCCCUUGGAUUAACUAGAAAAGCACUUACCAGAAGAUCAACGUCCAUUACAACAAUGUAUUCUGUAUGCAGCUUAGAGCUAUUCAAAUAUACACGUCAAAUAUAAAUGGUUCUGACAA